AUUGAACGCUGGCGGCGGGCCUAACACAUGCAAGUCGAGCGGAUGAAGGGAGCUUGCUCCUGGAUUCCGCGGCGGACGGGUGAGUAAUGCCUAGGAAUCUGCCUGGUAGUUGGGGAUGACGUCCGGAAACGAGCGCUAAUACCGCAUACGUCCUGAGGGAGAAAGUGGGGGAUCUUCGGACCACACGCUAUCAGAUGAGCCUAGGUCGGAUUAGCUAGUUGGUGGGGUAACGGCCUACCAAGGCGACGAUCCGUAACUGGUCUGAGAGGAUGAUCAGUCACACUGGAACUGAGACACGGUCCAGACUCCUACGGGAGGCAGCAGUGGGGAAUAUUCGACAAUGGGCGAAAGCCUGAUCCAGCCAUGCCGCGUGUGUGAAGAAGGUCUUCGGAUCGUAAAGCUCUUUUAGUUGGGAGGAAGGGCAGUAAGUUAAUACCUUGCCGUUUUGACGUUACCAACAGAAUAAGCACCGGCUAACUUCGUG
rnacentral:rRNA from 1 species